CCUACGGGAGGCAGCAGUGAGGCAUAUUGGUCAAUGGACGAGAGUCUGAACCAGCCAAGUAGCGUGAAGGAUGACUGCCCUAUGGGUUGUAAACUUCUUUUAUAUGGGAAUAAAAUGUUCCAAGUGUGGGAUUUUGUAUGUACCAUAUGAAUAAGGAUCGGCUAACUCCGUGCCAUCAGCCGCGGUAAUACGGAGGAUCCGAGCGUUAUCCGGAUUUAUUGGGUUUAAAGGGAUCGUAGGUGGAUUGUUAAGUCAGUUGUGAAAGUGUGCGGCGCAACCGUAAAAUUGCAGUUGAAACUGGCAGUCUUGAGUACAGUAGAGGUGAGCGGAAUUCGGGGUGUAGCGGUGAAAUGCUUAGAUAUCACGAAGAACGCCGAUUGCGAAGGCAGUUCACUGGACUGCAACUGACACUGAGGCUCGAAAGUGUGGGUAUCAAACAGGAUUAGAUACCCGGGUAGUC
rnacentral:rRNA from 1 species